UCAUCAGUAAGGGAUAAUCCUUACCUGUCGCCUCUACGGAGGCGUCAGAGUAUUAUAUGAUGCACUGUGGAGGCUGAUGACACUUCGUGACUUAUACCUCCUGGUUUGAGAGACGCAACACCUCUCACUCCUGUUUGCUGAC